CGUAAUCAGCUGGUUACUUUACGUAAAACUGCCGUAUGUCGCAAAACAGCCAAAGAGCCCACACGUAGUUGGCAGCUAUUAUUCACUACAGUAUAUAUCGUUUUAUUUACUAUUCAAGAUAACUGCUACAAUGGAAAUCUUACGUCCAUCAUUGAUCAACAUAAGUGGAAGAGUAUACAGAAGAAAUACCAUCAAAGAAGACCAGUAUGAAGAGGGGGAUGUGGACGACUCCUACAUGGGACCACCAGCAAGUGAACAGUUUGACGAAGAAGAAGAGUUCUGUGACAGCCACUCCAUAGAACAGACGGACGAAGGUUUCAGCUGCGCCAUUGAUGUCCCAAGUGUUCUUUACAAAUACAUCAUCGGAAGGAAAGGAGAGACACGUAGAAGACUCGAGGCAGACACUAAGACAGACAUCCACAUUCCAAAACAAGGAGUGGAAGGACAGAUCGUGAUCACUGGCUCCCAGAAGGCCGCGGUGUCCUCUGCUGUGACUCGUGUCGAGCUCCUGGUGCAGAGCUUUCGCAAGAAGCAGCCGUUCACCCACUUCCUGUCGUUCGCUCUUAACCACCCUCAAGUUCAGGAUGGAUUCCUGAGGUUUAAAGAGGAGGUGUUGGAGCAGUGUUCUCAGGACCACGGAGUAGAUGGAAGCAUCUUCCAGAAUCCUGCUAAGCUCCAUCUGACAGUCGGCACCCUGGCUCUGCUGAACGACCUGGAAGUGACCCAAGCAUGUAAACAACUCCAGCACUGUCAGGACUUUAUCAAGACCAUCACAGAAGGGAAGCCUCUCCCGCUGGAGGUGACAGGGAUUGAGUACAUGAACGAUGACCCAGCCAUGGUGGAUGUCCUGUAUGCCAAGGUCCAAGUGAAAGAUGGUUCGGACAAGCUGCAGACCAUUGUGGAGCGGCUGGUGGACCACUUUGUUUCCUCAGGGCUGAUGGUCAGAGAAUGGGACAGAGUGAAACUGCACGGCACAGUGAUGAACACUCUGUUCAGGAAGGAUGCUUCAGAGCUUUGGGUCGUACCAUUUUGGGGAGUUUGAUCUGAGUGCCGUCCAGAUUUCCCAGAGGUAUUCUACCGACUGCACCGGUUUCUACACCUCCGCUGGCCUUCUGAACUUCUCCUGACCGCCUCUCCCCUGAACGUUCACUCAGGUCAGAGGUGAACGAUGAAGCUUCAAGGUGGACUGGACCUGCAGAGAUGAAUGACCGGGUUACAGGGUGGACAUGUCAGAAAGCUCUAGGAUGUCCCUGUCACCGUGCACUUGGCUGCAGACCAAUCAAAUGCCAGUGGAAUUGUGUCAGAGAAUGCUGGCGUUGAUUUCCAUGGGACAUCGUGCUCCAUCUCCCCCAGUCACGUGCUUCCUGAUUAAACACUUGUCUUGUCAAAGUGUUUACGUUUCAACUGGAGUGAAAACAACCUGAUUAUAUUAAUGACACAUUGGGGUAAUGACACAUUGGGUUAAUGACACAUUGGGUUAAUGACACAUUGGGUUAAUGACACAUUGGGCUAAUGACACAUUGGGGUAAUGUUACAUUGGGGUAAUGACACACUGGGGUAAUGACACACUGGGGUAAUGUUACAUUGGGGUAAUGUUACAUUGGGGUAAUGUUACAUUGGGGUAAUGCCACAUUGGGGUAAUGAAACAUUGGGGUAAUGUUACAUUGGUUUAAUGACACAUUGGGGUAAUGUUACAUUGGGGUAAUGACACAUUGGGUUAAUGAUUACAUUGGGGUAAUGAUUACAUUGGGGUAAUGACACAUUGGGGUAAUGACACAUUGGGUUAAUGACACAUUGGGUUAAUGACACAUUGGGGUAAUGACACAUUGGUUUAAUGACACAUUGGGUUAAUGACACAUUGGGUUAAUGACACAUUGGGUUAAUGACACAUUGGGUUAAUGGCACAUUGGGUUAAUGGCACAUUGCGUUAAUGGCACAUUGGGUUAAUGGCAAAUUGGGUUAAUGACACAUUGGGGUAAUGUUACAUCGGUUUAAUGACACAUUGGGUUAAUGGCUUGCGUUGGGUUAAUGACACGUUGGGUUAAUGACACAUUGGGUUAAUGACACAUUGGGUUAAUGACACAUUGGGUUAAUGACACAUUGGGUUAAUGGCAUAUUGGGUUAAUGGCACAUUGGGUUAAUGACACGUUGGGUUAAUGACACAUUGGGUUAAUGACACAUUGGGUUAAUGACACAUUGGGUUAAUGACACAUUGGGUUAAUGACACAUUGGGUUAAUGACACAUUGGGGUAAUGACACAUUGGGUUAAUGACACAUUGGGUUAAUGACACAUUGGGGUAAUGACACAUUGGGGUAAUGACACAUUGGGGUAAUGACACAUUGGGGUAAUGACACAUUGGGUUAAUGACACAUUGGGUUAAUGACACAUUGGGUUAAUGACACAUUGGGGUAAUGACACAUUGGGGUAAUGACACAUUGGGGUAAUGACACAUUGGGGUAACAUUUGGUCUUGAUAUUUUUUCCCUCUAUGACAUAAGGUUCCACUAUUGUGAUAUGGGAUGAAUCUAUAAAAAACAAAACAUUUUAAUAAUAAACAGACAAAUUA